rnacentral:sRNA from 1 species
GUGCUGGAGGAAUACAUGGGUUCAGACCCCCUCUAUGUAGGAAAGAUAUGGAUCUAUAACAGAUGAAUAAACUGGGACCCAAGCACCAUCCAGACAGCACAACAUGGAGCAGAAUGGAGACUCAGUAGCCAUACCUGGGGCUUCUUUGCAUUGACCUUCCAAUUGGGCCAUUCUGCCUCUAAGAAAAUGGACCGGGACCCCUAGAAUGGCUGUUUGUCACAAGUGAAUUACUGUGAACUUUAUCUGAGAAUAAAAGCAAUAUGAGUAGUAUUUUUUCUUUUCAUUUGUUACUUAAUAAAAGAAAUGAUGUUUAGGGCAAUGUUACCAUUACCUAUGCACUUCCUGAAUUAUAUCUCUUUCCUUUAUUCCUGUUUGUAAAACAAUUAAUAUCUUCUUAAACCACACGUCUUCAUUAGAGAUGCUUUAUAAGUAAAUUGUGUUCCAUUACCUUGAACCACAAUAAUAAUUAUGAAUUAGGAAUACUUCAACCAGAAAGAAAUGACUCAUACAUUUGUUUUCAUCUGUAACAUUUCUUCAACAGCUUGAUAAUUGCAGUAUAUGCAGUGGUAUGUGGAAAAUAUUUAUUAAAAGACACAAUAGAAAACUUGUUUAUAAUAUGUAUAUUCAGGCAUUUUUACUUCUGCCAAUCAUUGUUUAAAUCUACCUUCUAUACUUAAAAUUUUAACCUUGUAAAAUUUUAAUAAAAUUACCCUGUAUGGGUUCUAAUAAUCUGGAAUACA